CCCAACUAUCCCUAUUAAUCAUUACGGUGAUUCAGAAACCAACAAAACAGGACCACCGUCCUAUUUUAUUAUUCCAUGCUAAUGUAUUCAGACGUAAGCCUGCUUUGAACACUCUAAUUUUUUCAAGGUAAAGGUCCUGGUUUCCCACCACGCUAAAUAAAUAACAUGAUGGUUCCCCAGAAGGUAGAAAUUCCACACGCCAGUACAGACUAUUGCCCGACCAACGGUAGAACCCCGAAAUUCAACUACGAGCUUUUUAACUGCAACAACUUUAAUAUACGCUAUUGGAGCUGGAAUUACCGCGGCUGCUGGCACCAGACUUGCCCUCCAA
rnacentral:misc_RNA from 1 species